UGCGGGGGGGGGGGGCUAAUACAUGCAGUCGAACGCGUUGGCCCAAUUGAUUGAUGGUGCUUGCACCUGAUUGAUUUUGGUCGCCAACGAGUGGCGGACGGGUGAGUAACACGUAGGUAACCUGCCCAGAAGCGGGGGACAACAUUUGGAAACAGAUGCUAAUACCGCAUAACAGCGUUGUUCGCAUGAACAACGCUUAAAAGAUGGCUUCUCGCUAUCACUUCUGGAUGGACCUGCGGUGCAUUAGCUUGUUGGUGGGGUAACGGCCUACCAAGGCGAUGAUGCAUAGCCGAGUUGAGAGACUGAUCGGCCACAAUGGGACUGAGACACGGCCCAUACUCCUACGGGAGGCAGCAGUAGGGAAUCUUCCACAAUGGGCGCAAGCCUGAUGGAGCAACACCGCGUGAGUGAAGAAGGGUUUCGGCUCGUAAAGCUCUGUUGUUAAAGAAGAACACGUAUGAGAGUAACUGUUCAUACGUUGACGGUAUUUAACCAGAAAGUCACGGCUAACUACGUGCCAGCAGCCGCGGUAAUACGUAGGUGGCAAGCGUUAUCCGGAUUUAUUGGGCGUAAAGAGAGUGCAGGCGGUUUUCUAAGUCUGAUGUGAAAGCCUUCGGCUUAACCGGAGAAGUGCAUCGGAAACUGGAUAACUUGAGUGCAGAAGAGGGUAGUGGAACUCCAUGUGUAGCGGUGGAAUGCGUAGAUAUAUGGAAGAACACCAGUGGCGAAGGCGGCUACCUGGUCUGCAACUGACGCUGAGACUCGAAAGCAUGGGUAGCGAACAGGAUUAGAUACCCUGGUAGUCCAUGCCGUAAACGAUGAGUGCUAGGUGUUGGAGGGUUUCCGCCCUUCAGUGCCGGAGCUAACGCAUUAAGCACUCCGCCUGGGGAGUACGACCGCAAGGUUGAAACUCAAAGGAAUUGACGGGGGCCCGCACAAGCGGUGGAGCAUGUGGUUUAAUUCGAAGCUACGCGAAGAACCUUACCAGGUCUUGACAUCUUGCGCCAACCCUAGAGAUAGGGCGUUUCCUUCGGGAACGCAAUGACAGGUGGUGCAUGGUCGUCGUCAGCUCGUGUCGUGAGAUGUUGGGUUAAGUCCCGCAACGAGCGCAACCCUUGUUACUAGUUGCCAGCAUUAAGUUGGGCACUCUAGUGAGACUGCCGGUGACAAACCGGAGGAAGGUGGGGACGACGUCAGAUCAUCAUGCCCCUUAUGACCUGGGCUACACACGUGCUACAAUGGACGGUACAACGAGUCGCGAACUCGCGAGGGCAAGCAAAUCUCUUAAAACCGUUCUCAGUUCGGACUGCAGGCUGCAACUCGCCUGCACGAAGUCGGAAUCGCUAGUAAUCGCGGAUCAGCAUGCCGCGGUGAAUACGUUCCCGGGCCUUGUACACACCGCCCGUCACACCAUGAGAGUUUGUAACACCCAAAGUCGGUGGGGUAACCUUUUAGGAGCCAGCCGCCUAAGGUGAACG
rnacentral:rRNA from 1 species